rnacentral:rRNA from 1 species
CAUUCAAGAUCAGCAAUCGAAAGAUUGCCUGAAUACAAACAUGUGCACGUCUUCGGACAAAAACAUCAAGUCAAAAUGUAUGAAUGAAUAAAAAAUAAAUAUAACUUUCAACAACGGAUCUCUUGGCUCCUACAUCGAUGAAGAACGCAGCGAAACGCGAUAGUUAAUGUGAAUUGCAGAAUUCAGUGAAUCAUCGAAUCUUUGAACGCACCUUGCGCCUUUUGGUAUUCCGAAAGGCAUGUGUUUUUGAGUGUUAUUUUACUCUACUACAUAUUGUUUUUCAAUAUGCAGUGACUUGGGUGUUUGUCAUGUGUUGACUCGCCUUAAAAGGAUUAGUUGUUGUCGAAUGUAAUAAGUUUCAUUCAUUAGACGGCUUCCAACCAAACCCUAUGUGUCUUGACAUGUAGCUUACAAGCCUUUGUCGGCUUGUUUCUUAGCCUCAAAAACACAAGACUACCCGCUGAACUUAA